GACGAACGCUGGCGGCGUGCUUAACACAUGCAAGUCGAACGGAAAGGCCCUGCUUUUGUGGGGUGCUCGAGUGGCGAACGGGUGAGUAACACGUGAGUAACCUGCCCUUGACUUUGGGAUAACUUCAGGAAACUGGGGCUAAUACCGGAUAUGAGCUCCUGCUGCAUGGUGGGGGUUGGAAAGUUUCGGCGGUUGGGGAUGGACUCGCGGCUUAUCAGCUUGUUGGUGGGGUAGUGGCUUACCAAGGCUUUGACGGGUAGCCGGCCUGAGAGGGUGACCGGCCACAUUGGGACUGAGAUACGGCCCAGACUCCUACGGGAGGCAGCAGUGGGGAAUAUUGCACAAUGGGCGGAAGCCUGAUGCAGCAACGCCGCGUGCGGGAUGACGGCCUUCGGGUUGUAAACCGCUUUCGCCUGUGACGAAGCGUGGGUGACGGUAAUGGGUAAAGAAGCACCGGCUAACUACGUG
rnacentral:rRNA from 1 species